AUCUUCCGCAAUGGACGAAAGUCUGAUGCAGCAACGCCGCGUGGAGGAUGACACAUUUCGGUGCGUAAACUCCUUUUAUAUGGGAAGAUAAUGACGGUACCAUAUGAAUAAGCACCGGCUAACUCCGUGCCAGCAGCCGCGGUAAUACGGAGGGUGCAAGCGUUACUCGGAAUCACUGGGCGUAAAGAGCGUGUAGGCGGAUAAAUAAGUCAGAAGUGAAAUCCAAUAGCUUAACUAUUGAACUGCUUUUGAAACUGUAUAUCUAGAAUGUGGGAGAGGUAGAUGGAAUUUCUGGUGUAGGGGUAAAAUCCGUAGAGAUCAGAAGGAAUACCGAUUGCGAAGGCGAUCUACUGGAACAUUAUUGACGCUGAGACGCGAAAGCGUGGGGAGCAAACAG
rnacentral:rRNA from 1 species